AGUGAACGCUGGCGGUGGGCCUAACACAUGCAAGUCGAACGGCAGCACAGUAAUAGCUUGCUCUUACGGGUGGCGAGUGGCGGACGGGUGAGGAAUACAUCGGAAUCUACUUUUUCGUGGGGGAUAACGUAGGGAAACUUACGCUAAUACCGCAUACGACCUACGGGUGAAAGCAGGGGAUCUUCGGACCUUGCGCGAUUGAAUGAGCCGAUGUCGGAUUAGCUAGUUGGCGGGGUAAAGGCCCACCAAGGCGACGAUCCGUAGCUGGUCUGAGAGGAUGAUAAGCCACACUGGAACUGAGACACGGUCCAGACUCCUACGGGAGGCAGCAGUGGGGAAUAUUGGACAAUGGGGGAAAGCCUGAUCCAGCCAUACCGCGUGGGUGAAGAAGGCCUUCGGGUUGUAAAGCCCUUUUGUUGGGAAAGAAAAGCAGCAGGUUAAUACCCCGCUGUUCUGACGGUACCCAAAGAAUAAGCACCGGCUAACUUCGUG
rnacentral:rRNA from 1 species